UCACUGCUAUCGGGGUUCGAUUAAGCCAUGCGAGUCGAGAGGGUUCGGCCCUCGGCGUACUGCUCAGUAACACGUGGAUAACCUGCCCUAGGGGAGGGGAUAACCCCGGGAAACUGGGGAUAAUACCCUAUAGGUUACAGAUGCUGGAAUGCCCUGUAACCAAAAGCUCCGGCGCCCUAGGAUGGAUCUGCGGCCGAUUAGGUUGUUGUUGGGGUAACGGCCCAACAAGCCCGUAAUCGGUACGGGUUGUGGGAGCAAGAGCCCGGAGUUGGAUUCUGAGACACGAAUCCAGGCCCUACGGGGCGCAGCAGGCGCGAAACCUUUACAAUGCGGGCAACCGUGAUAAGGGAACCUCGAGUGCCUGUAAACGCAGGCUGUUCAGGUGUUUAAAACGCACCUGGAGAAAGGGCCGGGCAAGACCGGUGCCAGCCGCCGCGGUAAUACCGGCGGCUCGAGUGGUGGCCGCUUUUAUUGGGCUUAAAGCGUUCGUAGCUGGGUUGUAAAGUCUCUUGGGAAAUCUGGCGGCU
rnacentral:rRNA from 1 species